rnacentral:tRNA from 1 species
GCGCCCGUAGCUCAGUCGGAUAGAGCAACGGCCUUCUAAGCCGUGGGUCGCUGGUUCGAUUCCAGCCGGGCGCACCA